CAGAGGGUGCGAGCGUUGUCCGGAAUCACUGGGCGUAAAGGGCGCGUAGGCGGCCGCUUAAGCGUGUCGUGAAGGCGCGGGGCUCAACCCCGCGUCGGCGAUGCGAACUGGGGGGCUGGAGCAUGUCAGAGGCAGGCGGAAUUCCGGGUGUAGCGGUGGAAUGCGUAGAGAUCCGGAAGAACACCGGUGGCGAAGGCGGCCUGCUGGGACAUGGCUGACGCUGAGGCGCGACAGCGUGGGGAGCAAACAGGAUUAGAUACCCUGGUAGUCCACGCCGUAAACGAUGGGUACUAGGUGCUUGGGGGAGCGACCCCCUGGGUGCCGGCGCUAACGCAUUAAGUACCCGCCUGGGGAGUACGGCCGCAAGGCUG
rnacentral:rRNA from 1 species